CAGAUAAAAACACAGCUGAAAUCUGGACUCAGACUCUCUCCUGAUCAGUUUUCAGCUCUGGUGUUUGUGUUGCUGAAUUCAGAAGAGCAGCUGGCUGAGAUUAAAUCUCAUCGAUCAGAGGAACAUCUUCUGAUGCUUCGACCAGUGCUCAAAACAUCUGGAGAACUUAAAAAGAGCAAUCCAAAUUCGAAGAAUCCUAAACAAGGCCAUAUCUCCAACAAGCAGCCCAAGCAGGCCACGAUCAGUCCAAAGAGCAGCACACAGAGUCACUCUUCAGGUAAAUUAAUAACAGCAUGUUCCAGUUUUUUGUUCAGACUCUUGUAG
rnacentral:lncRNA from 1 species